GAUAAACAUCAUUUGCGGAGGCGUGAGCCAUAAACCAGGAGUAGGUCAAUGAGUAGAUUGUACUAAUGGGAUGAAACUAAUCCUGAACAGUUAUCUGUGUUAAAGGUGUCAUCUCAACUGCAACCUAAAUGUGUUCAAUGCUAUGGAACAAUGAAUCCAAUGAUGGAUGCAAAUCAGUCAAUAAUUCCCCUCCAGCCCACCGUAAGUAGAACUGUGAUUUUACAUUGAUAUAUCAGUAGAUACCGGUGACAGUUGACGCAGUAUCGCUUAGUUGGUUAAGGUGCCAACUAUAGGACCUGUUUAAAACCUUCUUGGUUGUAAGUUUUAACAAAUCUUUUAGAUAAUAUAUGUAUUAGAGAGAGAAACACUUUUAGGGUUAUUUACAAAAGUGAGAAUUGCCUGGAACUCAAAAUUGUCGAACACCACGAGCGCAUUAGGCCCUACCCAUAGAAAAGCAAUGUUGCAAUGCUUUCCACUGGGGAUUUGACUUAUGCAGAGUGUGAGGACAUCCAGGGCCAGGCGACCAAAACCACCUAACCACCUCAAUGAGCUGAAGAGGUCUUGGUGCCUAUAGUGUCCCUUUAAUAUAUACACUACGUUGCCUUUUAAUCAAUCCCCAUACAAGUGACAGAUUAGGUAACAAAAAAGGUAACAAAUAUAGAGAAAGGGGGGGAAAAGGUAAAAUUAAAUACUGACUGUUUUCAUUUUUUUAAAAAACCUUUAUUUAUAAUAUAUAUUACAUUUACCAGGUGGAACCCAACGCAUUAGCUCUUUCUUACUUUAUUGUACUGCUGUGAUGGUUAAUACUAUGGAAACGGUCGAAUUCGGAGCUGAGUCCAGUCCCUGAGCGAAUGUCGGCAAUGAGGGUUGCAGGGAAGCUGUGGCAGUCCGGUUGCCCUCUCUGUAUUACUAUAUCAAAAAAUAAACAUUUCCAAAGUGAGCUAAGAGUUUAUUAUAUAAACCAACGUUCCUUGGAAAGCUGGAGAUUCCUUUAUUUGGACUUAAUGCUACUUAGCUCUGCCAGCAGGCACUUACUUAUACACAAUAGCUGACAACGCAAACAGAGAAGAUUAACUACACCCCACACUUGUGCAAUUUAAAAUUCACAUGGAGAAUUGGAGACAGGCAAAGUGGUAAGUGUGAUACCAACCUUAUCCUGAACAAUGCACGAUGCGGUAUUGGAAGUGGUCACAGAUGCAGCAUCAAAGACUUACUCUUCAU